rnacentral:rRNA from 1 species
UAUGAACGCUGGCGGCUUGCCUAAUACAUGCAAGUCGAGCGAGCGGACGCGAAGCUUGCUUCUCUGGUGUUAUCGCCGGACGGGUGCUUCACACGUGUAUAGCCUACCUCUACGACUGGGGUACCUUCGGGAGACCGUAGCUAAUACCGUAUGAUAUUUUGACCCGCAUUGUUCCAGCGUGGAAUUCGGUCUUGCUUUCCCUUAUAGCUGAAUCCGCGCUCCAUUAGCUAGUUGUUAGCGUAACGGCUUACCAAGGCAACGAUGCAUAUCCGACCUAAACGGGUCAUCGCCCACACGGUAACAGAGACACGGUCGAGACACCUGCGGGAGGCAGCAGUAGGGAAUCCUCCGCAAUGGGCGAAUGGCUGACGGAGCAAAGCGGCGUGAGUGAUGAACGUCUUCUGAUCGUAAAACUCUGUUAUUAGGGAAGAACAAAAGUGUAAGUAACUGUGAACAUCUUGACGGUACCUAAUCAGAAAGCCACGGCUAACUCCGUG